rnacentral:lncRNA from 1 species
UUAGUUUGAAUAAUUUAAGUCCGUAAUUGCUUGGGUUAUUCUUACAUGAAAACACUUGGGAUCAAACCCAAGGAAAUUGCAUGAUCUAGCGUUGUCUCCAUACGUUUGGGUAGUUAGGAUUGGAUCUCUCUAUUUCUUAAUGCAAUUGACAAUUGUUUUGAUGCCUAAGGCCCAAGGACGUUCCUUGGCAAUUUAUUAAUUAGUAAUUAAUUAGAGGACGUUCCCUAAUUAAUUUAAUAAUAAGGAGAGAUAAUGGUGGUGAGAAGCGUCUUCCAUCUCCAUAACUAAUCUAUUGAAUCAAC